CCUACGGGAGGCAGCAGUGAGGAAUAUUGGUCAAUGGACGAGAGUCUGAACCAGCCAAGUAGCGUGAAGGAUGACUGCCCUAUGGGUUGUAAACUGCUUUUAUAGGGGAAGAAAACGUGGCACGUGUGGGAUUUUGUAUGUACCAUAUGAAUAAGGAUCGGCUAACUCCGUGCCAGCAUCCGCGGUAAUACGGAGGAUCCGAGCGUUAUCCGGAUUUAUGGGGGUUAAAGGGAGCGUAGGUGGCUUGUGAAGUCAGUGGUGAAAGUUUGCGGCUCAACCGGAAAAUUGCAGUUGACACUGGCAGUCUUGAUUACAGUCGCGGUGGGCGGAAUUCGUUGUGUAGCGG
rnacentral:rRNA from 1 species